rnacentral:rRNA from 1 species
GACGAACGCUGGCGGCGUGCUUAACACAUGCAAGUCGAACGGAAAGGCCUCUUUCGGGGGGUACUCGAGUGGCGAACGGGUGGGUAACACGUGAGUAACCUGCCCUUGACUUUGGGAUAACUUCAGGAAACUGGGGCUAAUACCGGAUAGGAGCUCCUGCUGCAUGGUGGGGGUUGGAAAGUUUCGGCGGUUGGGGAUGGACUCGCGGCUUAUCAGCUUGUUGGUGGGGUAGUGGCUUACCAAGGCUUUGACGGGUAGCCGGCCUGAGAGGGUGACCGGCCACAUUGGGACUGAGAUACGGCCCAGACUCCUACGGGAGGCAGCAGGGGGGAAUAUUGCACAAUGGGUGGAAGCCUGAUGCAGCAACGCCGUGUGCGGGAUGACGGCCUUCGGGUUGUAAACCGCUUUCGCUCAUGACGAAGCUUUGUGUGACGGUAGUGGGUAAAGAAGCACCGGCUAACUACGUG